AUUGAACGCUGGCGGCAUGCUUUACACAUGCAAGUCGAACGGCAGCGCGGGCUUCGGCCUGGCGGCGAGUGGCGAACGGGUGAGUAAUGCAUCGGAACGUGCCCAGUAGUGGGGGAUAGCCCGGCGAAAGCCGGAUUAAUACCGCAUACGACCUGAGGGUGAAAGCGGGGGACCGAAAGGCCUCGCGCUAUUGGAGCGGCCGAUGUCGGAUUAGCUAGUUGGUGGGGUAAAGGCUUACCAAGGCGACGAUCCGUAGCUGGUCUGAGAGGGCGACCAGCCACACUGGGACUGAGACACGGCCCAGACUCCUACGGGAGGCAGCAGUGGGGAAUGUUGGACAAUGGGGGCAACCCUGAUCCAGCCAUGCCGCGUGCGGGAAGAAGGCCUUCGGGUUGUAAACCGCUUUUGUUCGGGAAGAAAUCCUCUGGGCUAAUACCCCGGGGGGAUGACGGUACCGGAAGAAUAAGCACCGGCUAACUACGUG
rnacentral:rRNA from 1 species